rnacentral:rRNA from 1 species
AUAGCGUAUAUUAAAGUUGUUGCAGUUAAAAAGCUCGUAGUUGAAUUUUGGACCUGGUUGGUUGGUCUGCCUUUGGUUUGAACUUACCGACUGGGUCUUUCCUUCUGGCGAACUAUUGUGCUAUUCAUUUAGUGCGAUAGGGAACCAGGACUUUUACUUUGAAAAAAUUAGAGUGUUUAAAGCAGGCUUACGCUUGAAUACAUUAGCAUGGAAUAAUAGAAUAGGACUUUGGUUUUAUUUUGUUGGUUUCUAAGACCGAAGUAAUGAUUAAUAGGGAUAGUUGGGGGCAUUAGUAUUUAAUCGUCAGAGGUGAAAUUCUUGGAUUGAUUAAAGACUAACUUCUG